UAGUGGCGAACGGGUGAGUAACACGUGGGCAAUCUGCCCUGCACUCUGGGACAAGCCCUGGAAACGGGGUCUAAUACCGGAUAAUACUGUGCCCCUCAUGGGGGACGGUUAAAAGCUCCGGCGGUGCAGGAUGAGCCCGCGGCCUAUCAGCUUGUUGGUGGGGUAAUGGCCUACCAAGGCGACGACGGGUAGCCGGCCUGAGAGGGCGACCGGCCACACUGGGACUGAGACACGGCCCAGACUCCUACGGGAGGCAGCAGUGGGGAAUAUUGCACAAUGGGCGAAAGCCUGAUGCAGCGACGCCGCGUGAGGGAUGACGGCCUUCGGGUUGUAAACCUCUUUCAGCAGGGAAGAAGCGAAAGUGACGGUACCUGCAGAAGAAGCGCCGGCUAACUACGUGCCAGCAGCCGGGGUAAUACGUAGGGCGCAAGCGUUGUCCGGAAUUAUUGGGCGUAAAGAGCUCGUAGGCGGUUUGUCACGUCGGGUGUGAAAGCCCGGGGNUUNACCCC
rnacentral:rRNA from 1 species